UACGGAGGGGACUAGCGUUGUUCGGAAUUACUGGGCGUAAAGCGCACGUAGGCGGAUUUGUAAGUCAGGGGUGAAAUCCCGAGGCUCAACCUCCAAACUGCCUUUGAUACUGCAAAUCUCGAGUCCGGAAGAGGUGAGUGGAAUUCCUAGUGUAGAGGUGAAAUUCGUAGAUAUUAGGAAGAACACCAGUGGCGAAGGCGGCUCACUGGUCCGGUACUGACGCUGAGGUGCGAAAGCGUGGGGAGCAAACAGG
rnacentral:rRNA from 1 species